rnacentral:rRNA from 1 species
GCAAGUCGAACGGUCACGACCUAGCUUGCUAGGUACGGCUAGUGGCAAACGGGUGAGUAACGCGUGGGAACCUUCCUUUUAGUUAGGAAUAGCCCUGGGAAACCGGGAUUAAUACCUGAUACGCCCUUCGGGGGAAAGAUUUAUCGCUAAAAGAUGGGCCCGCGUUAGAUUAGCUUGUUGGUAGGGUAAUGGCCUACCAAGGCUGCGAUCUAUAGCUGGUUUGAGAGAAUGAUC